rnacentral:rRNA from 1 species
UAGCCUUGAUAUCCUUGGAAUCUCUCAGAGAUGAGAGAGUGCUAGUUUACUAGAGCCAAGUGACAGGUGCUGCACGGCUGUCGUCAGCUCGUGUCGUGAGAUGUUGGGUUAAGUCCCGCAACGAGCGCAACCCUCGUCCUUAGUUGCUAACAGUUCGGCUGAGCACUCUAAGGAGACUGCCUUCGUAAGGAGGAGGAAGGUGAGGACGACGUCAAGUCAUCAUGGCCCUUAUGGCUAGGGCUACACACGUGCUACAAUGGGGGGGACAAAGAGAAGCAAUACCGCGAGGUGGAGCAAAUCUUAAAACCCUCUCUCAGUUCGGAUUGGAGUCUGCAACUCGACUCCAUGAAGCUGGAAUCGCUAGUAAUCGUAGAUCAGCUAUGCUACGGUGAAUACGUUCCCGGGUCU